AUUCAUUUAUUAAAAUAUAUUUAUAACAAACAAAAUAUAUGAACGGAUCAUAAUAUAUUUUCAACAAUUUCCUUUGGUUUCAAAAGCUUUCUUGGAAAACGUUGACGGAAAACUAGUGCUAAGAGUGCUUUUCGUCUUUAAGGAUCUUGCUCAGCAGGCAUUGAAGUAUCAGCGCGACAUCAAUACACAGAGCGAUCUAUGGGAAUUGGCAGCCAACAACAACAACGAUCAUCGAGCAAAUCGGCCAGCUUUAGCUAGAAAGGAUUUGGCUUACAACAAGAAUGCCUGGAAGAGUAAAACCAAAAGAAACUUUGAUGAGAUCGAUAAGGCCUCCGUCAGCUUCGGCAUACUCAAUCCACUUGUAUAGUUGACUUUUGACUAGACUUGUAUACUCAUUUAUAAUUAACGCAAAUGCGCUUUGUGUCAGGGGAAAAAAGAUACGAAAUAUAUAUACUCAACAGCAACUGGGAAAUCGAAAGUAUUUGUAAAUACUAUAUACAGCAAUAUCAAUAAAAACAAUUCUAAUUGUUAAUAACA